rnacentral:rRNA from 1 species
AUUGAACGCUGGCGGCAGGCCUAACACAUGCAAGUCGAGCGAGCGGCGGACGGGUGAGUAAUGUCUGGGAAACUGCCUGAUGGAGGGGGAUAACUACUGGAAACGGUAGCUAAUACCGCAUACCAUCAGAUGUGCCCAGAUGGGAUUAGCUAGUGGGUGGGGUAAUGGCUCACCUAGGCGACGAUCCCUAGCUGGUCUGAGAGGAUGACCAGCCACACUGGAACGGUGACACGGGCCAGACUCCUACGGGAGGCAGCAGUGGGGAAUAUGGCACAAAGGGCUCAAGCCUGAUGCAGCCAUGCCGCGUGUAUGAAGAAGGCCUUCGGGUUGUAAAGUACUUUCAGCGAGGAGGCGUUACUCGCAGAAGAAGCACCGGCUAACUCCGUGCCAGCAGCCGCGGUAAUUC